rnacentral:rRNA from 1 species
AUACGUAUGGGGCAAGCGUUGUCCGGAUUAACUGGGCGUAAAGGGCACGCAGGCGGCUCGUUUAGUCGAAGGUGAAAUCCCUGGGCUCAACUCAGGAACUGCCUUCGAUACUGGCGAACUAGAGUGGCGUAGAGGAAAGCGGAAACUCCUGGUGUAACGGUGGAAUGUGUAGAUAUCAGGAGGAACACCGGUGGCGAAGGCGGCUUUCUGGACGCACACUGACGCUCAGGUGCGAAAGCGUGGGUAGCAAACAGGAUUAAGAUACCCUGGUAGUCCACGCCGUAAACGAUGGGUACUAGGUGUCGGGGGUAUCGAUCCCCUCGGUGCCGAAGUCAACGCAUUAAGUACACCGCCUGGGGAGUAUGAUCGCAAGGCUGAAACUCAAAGGAAUUGACGGGUCCCCGCACAAGCGGUGGAGCAUGUGGUUUAAUUCGACGCAACGCGAAGAACCUUACCUGGGCUUGACAUGCUUGGGACAGCGCUGGAAACAGCGUCUCUCCUUCGGGAGUCCUUGCACAGGUGCUGCAUGGCUGUCGUCAGCUCGUGUCGUGAGAUGUCGGGUUAAGUCCCUCAACGAGCGCAACCCUCGUUACUAGUUGCCAUCAGUUCGGCUGGGCACUCUAGUGAGACUGCCGGUGACAAACCGCAGGAAGGUGAGGAUGAUGUCAAGUCAUCAUGGCCCUUACGCCCAGGGCUACACACGUGCUACAAUGGUCGGCACAAAGGGCAGCCAAACCGCGAGGUGGAGCUAAUCCCAUAAAGCCGGCCGCAGUACGGAUUGGAGUCUGCAACUAGACUCCAUGAAGGCGGAAUCGCUAGUAAUCGCGGAUCAGCACGCCCCGGUGAAUAUGUUCCCGGGGAUUGUACACACCGCCCGUCAUAUCACCCGAGCCGGGAUACCCGAAGUCCGUGACCCAACCAUUUGGAGGGAGCG